GUUGGGAUGGCCGAGUUGGUCUAUGGUGCCAGAUUAAGGUUCUGGUCCGAGCGUGGGUUUAAAUCCCACUCUCAACA
rfam:Musa acuminata subsp. malaccensis Doubled-haploid Pahang (DH-Pahang) genomic chromosome, chr5